GUGGCGGCGUGCCUAAUACAUGCAAGUCGAGCGAAUCGGAGGGAGCUUGCUCCCAAAGAUUAGCGGCGGACGGGUGAGUAACACGUGGGCAACCUGCCUGUAAGACUGGGAUAACUUCGGGAAACCGGAGCUAAUACCGGAUAAUCCUUUUCCUCNCAUGAGGNAAAGCUGAAAGACGGUUUCGGCUGUCACUUACAGAUGGGCCCGCGGCGCAUUAGCUAGUUGGUGAGGUAACGGCUCACCAAGGCCACGAUGCGUAGCCAACCUGAGAGGGUGAUCGGCCACACUGGGACUGAGACACGGCCCAGACUCCUACGGGAGGCAGCAGUAGGGAAUCUUCCGCAAUGGACGAAAGUCUGACGGAGCAACGCCGCGUGAGCGAAGAAGGCCUUCGGGUCGUAAAGCUCUGUUGUCAGGGAAGAACAAGUGCCGGAGUAACUGCCGGCACCUUGACGGUACCUGACCAGAAAGCCACGGCUAACUACGUGCCAGCAGCCGCGGUAAUACGUAGGUGGCAAGCGUUGUCCGGAAUUAUUGGGCGUAAAGCGCGCGCAGGCGGUCCUUUAAGUCUGAUGUGAAAGCCCACGGCUCAACCGUGGAGGGUCAUUGGAAACUGGGGGACUUGAGUGCAGAAGAGGAGAGUGGAAUUCCACGUGUAGCGGUGAAAUGCGUAGAGAUGUGGAGGAACACCAGUGGCGAAGGCGACUCUCUGGUCUGUAACUGACGCUGAGGCGCGAAAGCGUGGGGAGCGAACAGGAUUAGAUACCCUGGUAGUCCACGCCGUAAACGAUGAGUGCUAAGUGUUAGAGGGUUUCCGCCCUUUAGUGCUGCAGCAAACGCAUUAAGCACUCCGCCUGGGGAGUACGGCCGCAAGGCUGAAACUCAAAGGAAUUGACGGGGGCCCGCACAAGCGGUGGAGCAUGUGGUUUAAUUCGAAGCAACGCGAAGAACCUUACCAGGUCUUGACAUCCUCUGACAACCCUAGAGAUAGGGCGUUCCCCUUCGGGGGACAGAGUGACAGGUGGUGCAUGGUUGUCGUCAGCUCGUGUCGUGAGA
rnacentral:rRNA from 1 species